rnacentral:lncRNA from 1 species
AAAUAAUUUUUAUAGCGUAAAAGCAAAAUAAAUUCAUAUAUAUUGUAAUACAGUAAGCCAGAGUAUUUAAUUUAAUUUAUAGUAACAAGUGGGCCCUCGAAUAACCAAAAGUAAGAAAGAUUGUGAACCUAUAGUUUGGAGGAUGCAAAUCCAAUGGUGGUCCUCGAUGAAAUCAGCUAUCUAUAGACUAUCUUGAGCCUGAAAUGGGUGGAAAGGAGGGUGGUGAGAUUAUAUAAUCCCAGUGAGUAAACAAAUACCAUCUAAAAUAUCUAAAGCCGAGUAAAUAGAGACAGAUAAAAUAGAUUAGCAUACUGUAAUUCAUCACCUUUUAACUUGUUUCAACCAAAUAAAAUCAAUUCAUAUAAAUCGAGUAAUCAACAUGGCUUAUGAAUUUCUUAAAACUUUGGCUCGUGCCAAAAUCAUUUUCAUACCCAAUUAUCAGGGAUACCUUGAUCGAGGGCUAUCCCAACCGAGUCCGCCAAGGCUAAUAAAAAGUUAUAUACGCAUAAAUCUUGUUUUUAUUUUGAAAACAUAGUCAUUCCUUGACGUUGGCUGAGUUCACCCUCACGUGGUGGUUUGGCGUGAAGUGAACUCUAAAGUGUUAACCUUAGGAGUUAUCCAUCCACGCCUCUCAUACUGAGGUAUAAAUAUAAUAGGGUUACCGUGCCCUUCUAAUAGGCUGGUCCACAGAACCCGUCCACUGCAGCGACUAAUUUAUAACCCACCAUACAACAAAAAUUCAAUAGCAUGACAUGAUAAUUAUUUUAUUUUACAGCCUCUCAAGGCAAAUUAACAGUUCAUACAUUCUCAACACAAAUACCAAUUCAGCCAUUCAUGCAAAUAUUAUCAUAAGCCAUUCAAUUCAAACCAUGAUUUAUAACACAACAAUUAGUCUCCAAUUACUCCAUUUUCAAAACCAUCGUUCAAUUUCAAGACAAUUUUAUAAAAUCAUUUCAUUUAAACACAUUUUGUUUAUAAAACCUAAAAAUUUACCAUUUAAACUUAUUUUCCAUAAAAUCACAAAAUCAGAUAAAAUCACUUUAGAUAAUUAAGAUGAUAGUAAGGUUACUCACUAUUUCGGGGAGUCGAAUUUUGAGUACUCCGAUUCUUGAUCCUCGAGUACUAUCUCUUUACUUUUGCCAGAAUGCUCACCACCUAGACAUAAUGCACAAUAAGCCAUUUACUACAUUUGUGCUAAAUUGUUAUAAAACCAAUUCAGGCUCUAUACUAAUGCAUGAAAUGGGAUGUGAAAUACUCGGGUAACUAUCUAAAUAUGGUGUUCCAUAUAAAUUCAAUUAUGUACCUAAAUAAAACGGUAUUGGCUUAAUUCGAUCUAUCACUUGAUUAAUUAGCCAAUACGUCCAAUUCAACUCUAAUUAACUCCAUUUUUCUUCCAAUUCUCCAAACCAUCAAACACAAGUUAAAUAACCUGAAAUAUGACAAAAUCAUUCUCACAUUUUCUCUUGGAAAAUUCGGCCAUGGUGGGUGCAUCAACACUAUAAUUUUUCCUACUUGAUUCUCACACCAUAAAUCACUAAUUCUUAACCAAAUCACUUAAAAUAAAAUCAAAAUCGUCCUCAAUAUUCCACAUGGAGAAUUCGGCCAAUGAUGGGUGAUGGAAGAACAUGAAUUUUUCUUGCUUGAUUUUCAUGCUACAAAUCACCAAUCGACUAAAAACACUAAAAUACAUUGAAAUCUAACCAAAUCAAGCAUCAAAACCUUUCUCUAAGUGUUCAGCCAGCAAGAUACCCAUCAUGAAAUCAUGUGAUUCAACCAUGGAAAAUGCAAAAGAAUGUAUGGGAAAGGUAGAUCACAAGCUAGAAUUGAAAAAUCUUACCUUUUGUCACUUGUUUUCUUGAAUUUUCACACUUUUCCCUUGAAUUUUUCCACCUAGGGUUUUUGUUCUUCUUGUCUUCCUUUGUUCUUCC